rnacentral:rRNA from 1 species
AUUGAACGCUGGCGGCAGGCCUAACACAUGCAAGUCGAGCGGAUGAAGGGAGCUUGCUCCUGGAUUCAGCGGCGGACGGGUGAGUAAUGCCUAGGAAUCUGCCUGGUAGUGGGGGAUAACGUCCGGAAACGGGCGCUAAUACCGCAUACGUCCUGAGGGAGAAAGUGGGGGAUCUUCGGACCUCACGCUAUCAGAUGAGCCUAGGUCGGAUUAGCUAGUUGGUGGGGUAAAGGCCUACCAAGGCGACGACCCGUAACUGGUCUGAGAGGAUGAUCAGUCACACUGGAACUGAGACACGGUCCAGACUCCUACGGGAGGCAGCAGUGGGGAAUAUUGGACAAUGGGCGAAAGCCUGAUCCAGCCAUGCCGCGUGUGUGAAGAAGGUCUUCGGAUUGUAAAGCACUUUAAGUUGGGAGGAAGGGCAAUAAGUUAAUACCUUGCUGUUUUGACGUUACCAACAGAAUAAGCACCGGCUAACUUCGUG